GCCCCCGUUGUCUAAUGGCUAUGACGUCAGACUUCUACUUCACGAGUGUGAUCUAGUACCGUUUCAUCUGGAGGUUGCGGGUUCGAGUCCCGCCGGGGGUU
rfam:Fibulorhizoctonia sp. CBS 109695 unplaced genomic scaffold FIBSPscaffold_296, whole genome shotgun sequence.